AGAGUUUUAUUGACGUCCAAGCCUAGCUCAGACGCCAGAAAAUGCAAAUACAGCCAUUAAAGAUGAAAAUGCGCCCACCAAAGAGUGAUGGGAUUUUGAGAUAAUAUUUAUGGUUUUAUCUGCUUUUGUAUUACACAAACGUAUUACAGUCUAGCUGCCUAAUCUCCAUAUAUUUCAUAUUUAGGGUAAUAUGUUUGUUAGAUCUCACUUGAGGUGUUUUAAUAUUCACCUAAGAGGUUUGCAUUGAUGUUGGCAGGUGAGCUUACACUUUG